rnacentral:rRNA from 1 species
UACGUAGGGUGCAAGCGUUAAUCGGAAUUACUGGGCGUAAAGCGUGCGCAGGCGGUUUUGUAAGUCUGUCGUGAAAUCCCCGGGCUCAACCUGGGAAAUUGCGAUGGAGACUGCAAGGCUGGAGUCUGGCAGAGGGGGGUAGAAUUCCACGUGUAGCAGUGAAAUGCGUAGAGAUGUGGAGGAACACCGAUGGCGAAGGCAGCCCCCUGGGUCAAGACUGACGCUCAUGCACGAAAGCGUGGGGAGCAAACGAGGAU